CGGGAGUAAUGCGCAGGCGCUGCAGGGCGGAGCGGGGCCGUGAGGGGAGCGGCUCCCUCCCCUCGGGGCGGGGCGCGGGGCGGUGAUAGAGGAUUUUUUUUUUCUUCUUUUAACGCAAAUUGGUUUGUGUUAUUAUGCCGCAGAGCUCUGCGCUAGUAUUAAGCAUCAGGAGACAGUUUCCCUGUCAAACGCUUCAAAUAUCCAGUUGAAACUGAUGGGAAAAUUGAGGCGGAAGAUGGGAAAUGUCCAUAUUGUGAGCUAGCUGCUCUCUUCCAGCCGUGUAGCAAGCCCUCUCGGUUUUGGUUCCUAACACAUGAUUUUGGUACACAGUUCAGCACUGAGGCAGGAAAAAGAAAUCAAGAAUGUAUUGAUUGAAUUAGCUCAGCAAUGGUCAGCUGCAUAUUGGAUUUCUUUGAAAAAGACUUGGAUAGAUUUUAACUAGGAAGGGAUGGAGAGAUAGAAGAACAGGGGGGUGAAGACCUCAGCAUGGCAAGCAUAAACCUAUCAAAAUGCCGUCUCUCUGUUCCAGCUGUCUCGCGCGGACGCCUUCAAAGUUUAAUCCACAGGUCUUGUCUUCUGUCAAAAACCCUCUCAUCUAACAGCUUGGAGACCCUGGAGCGCAUGGAUCCGCCACAAGAUGUCGAUAAGGAACAGCUGAAGAAGAGAGAAGCUGAAGUCCCAGAAUGAAUAGACCUAAACCCACAGACUUCACGACUGAAAAGGAAGACGUGCAGAAUAUGGGGUUCUUGGAUAGAAUUUGAAAGGACUCUUAUUUAAACCAUGCAAAACAUGCAGAAAAGGUCAGAAAAUCAAGACAUAACGUAUCUGUAUGUAUCACAAAAGAUCUGUUGUUUCAUUUAGUUCUAAAUGUGUAUUAAGCUAGGUUUCUGUUUGCUUGAAUGUUGUGUACUCCUGAAGACUUAAAUUGUGAAAUCAGAGUAUUGAAAAGGUUAGAAAUCUGUGGAAAAGAGUAGUUGAAGUGGUCCUAAGGGGUCUGUGUUUCUUCUCAGUGAGAAUGUGAUGUGGUAAGAAGGAGAACACAGGCGUAAGAAAGGUCCCUGUGAAAUGAUAAACCUGAUUGUUACUGCAACCUAGUGAGACCAGGGGAAAUUUGGAAGGAAAAGGCUCAGAGAAAUUUGGGAGGAUAAACUUUUGCAUUUUCUCCACUAAGUGAGAUCUUGGAGCAAAAAUCCAAGGAAGCAAAAAAGGUCCACUUUUUAAGCUAUAUACUUCUUUUUGUUAUUUCAAGAUUGCAGUUAACCAUAGUAAAUUAGGGGAAAAAAUUUCCUCCCUAUGAAAGCAAAGCUUGUGCCCAAUGAAGAACUGCAGUCAUUUCAAGUUUGGACUUUCGUUCUGUAAAGAAACAUCAAGCAUUUUUGCUCUGCACUGAAAGAAAUGGUGUCUUCAUUUGCCACCAAAUGCAGGAGCAGUUAUCUGGAGAUUGCUCUGGACUUAAGUCUAUGGAGAGGCACACUCAGAAUAGUGGCAAAUGUCCUGGUGAGGGAGCUCUGGUAGAGCAGUGCAUGCAGUGGGCAUUUAUUUCAAAUUGUGCUUUUAUGAAGAGAUUUGUUUGGGAGGUGUCUUAAUAGCUUUGUAUUUAUUGAGUAAUGGUGACACAGAUAUCUGUUCCAGGAAAAACUCACUGGGAUUAACUGAGUAAUUGGAAUGGCAGAAAAUAUCUUUCUGACUCGGCUUAGGAGGACAGUGACUUUGCUAAGACUUGACUUCUGCUCUUCCUCCUUUUGAUUCUAAUGCAAGCUGUGGUCCUUCGUUUUUCAGCUAGCAGAGAACAUCUAAGUAGAGAGUGACAUUAUUGGGAAAUGCACAGAUAUCCAUUGUUCCUGUCACCAUGCUAAAGCGACACACAUAAUUUUGCAAGAAAUUUCAGACAGUUGGUGUCUGAGGAAGUGAGGAAAGGAGAGCAACUAUCUCUGAAAUAACAUUGUAACUUGGAUUGCGGUGAAUCUCCAUCUCUUCUUGUGCUGCUGCUAUUGUAUAUAUGUAUCACUAUGCAAACUAGUGAAAUUACAGUGAUAGAAGAGAAAUAGAAGAGAAAGUAAAAAAAAAUUCUUUGGUGUAGCAAUUCAGAGAAAACUAUGUAGCAAGAAAGCCUAAUUGUGAUUUUAAAGUGUCAUUUUUCUGUAACAAAGCUCCAAUAUUAACUAUGUAGCAGGCAUGAAAAGGGAAAAAGUGGCUGAUAGAAAAUCAGAAGUGCCUGAAAAUCAGCAUCGUUUUAGAGACUUUUGUGAUUUCCUGUAAUGUGACAUAAACCACCUAUUGUAUUUUUGCUGGGAAAUUUGUAGCUGAGGUCAAUAUAGCAGAAGAUAAAACUUGAGGGUUUCUGUGCUAGAAUGAGAGUUGUGUUCAUUAUCAAACCAUUCACAGAGGAUGGUGCCUGUUCAAAUUUACAUAAAGCAUGCUAAAAUGUAUGUUAGGCUGUAUUCUAUCAUGUUUGCUGCUCCCUGUCAGGAGGAAGAAGCAAAAUGUUUAAUUUUGCAUCAUCAGAAUGCUUGAAUUUAGAUACAAGCAGACUUUUUUACUUGGACUUGUUAACACAACUUACUGCUCUGGCAGUAGUUUUCCUUCUUCUCCCUGUGCUUGCUGCAGCCUGACACCAUCUUCCUGGUGUGGCUCAGGCUGUGCCGUGCUUGGCACAGACGGAGCCCCUGGUGGGAAUCUGGCUGGUUAUAGCACUGCUGUGUUAGAGGGCAGUCAGCCUCCUCCUUCUAGCUCUGUGCUCAGGUCUGCAGCCCUGCUGCUCAGGUCUGUAGCCCACCUUCAGUCUGGCCUGGAUUGUCCCCACAAAAAUCAAGAGCCCCCAGAGAUCAGUUCUUCCUUCUGUGUUCUCCCCUUCAGGGUUUGUCCCUUUGGUAGUGGUGGUGCAUGCAGAGAGCUGAGCAUCUACCAAGGUCAUGUGUGUGGUUUGAUAAAUGUUUAGUAAAAGGAACCCUUACAGCAAGGGCCAGAAAAGUGAUGUGGUUUCAUAGGGAUCUCACUUGUUGACUGGACCGCAGUCAUAGGCCAGUGAUUUAACAAGGUCAAUUCCUCAUUCAUAUGAGUUUAUUUACUAAUAAAUCUGAAAUAAAUGCUUGAAAUUGUCUUAGAUAAUUUUUUGCAACUUUCCAAUCAGAAUUAAUUAGAUGCUAUGAGUUGAGCAACUGAAUAAUUGGAAAUGAUUCACUGCUUUCCUUUCUAAGGAUGUGAAUUAGCACAUGUUCUGUUUGCUGAUGGAGUGCAUUGUGCUUUAGGGAAC